rnacentral:rRNA from 1 species
GCGAACGCUGGCGGCAGGCUUAACACAUGCAAGUCGAGCGGGCGUAGCAAUACGUCAGCGGCAGACGGGUGAGUAACACGUGGGAACGUACCUUUUGGUUCGGAACAACACAGGGAAACUUGUGCUAAUACCGGAUAAGCCCUUACGGGGAAAGAUUUAUCGCCAAAAGAUCGGCCCGCGUCUGAUUAGCUAGUUGGUGAGGUAACGGCUCACCAAGGCGACGAUCAGUAGCUG